UGUCUCACACAUGUCGUGUUUUAUUUUACUCUGCCCUGCCUUUUUAGGAGCGACUGCUUUGGACUCCAGUUUUGUGCGCAGUCUUUUUGCACACACCUCGGCGAGGGAGAAGGACAAACAACAUUCAGCCAAUGAAGCACAAAAUGCGUGACUUGCAACAAUCUCACUGGCUCUUCAACCACCAAUGUGGAGGAGCAUGAAGAGGCUACUACUUCUACUGACCAUCACAGUGACCACAACUAUGAAAAGACCUGGCAUCGGAGAUGUCAGCACUGGAAAAUUCUCAGAUCUAAUCUUAUGGCCACCUAAGAAACAGCAGUGAGAUCACAACACAUGAUUGGUACAGUGUAUCCCCAACACAUCACAUGAUUGGCCAGAUGUAUUCACAUGUCAUCUUUUGGAUCUUUCAAACUGGAUUGUGGAUCCAAACAUUGUAAUGCUUUGUUUGACACUGUCUUGACAGGUCUUAAAUAAAAUAUGUUGAACCAUGA